GCACAACCUCUGUAUUCUUUACUGUUUUUACUGGUUCUUGUUGUUUUCUUCAUUUUAAUCGGUGAAUUCUGUGUUUUCUUGGAUGUUUUAUCGUUUAAUAUCCCUUUUAUACAAUUUAAACGGUUAAUUUGCUUUGGAACAUUCAUCAAACACUUUUCGCUUCCAAACCUCUCUAUUGUUAUAAGUUCUUAUUGUUUUCUUGUGUUUAAUCUGUUCUUUUGUUG
rnacentral:lncRNA from 1 species